GCGCGAGUGGUGAAAUUGGCAGACACGUUAGUUUUAGGCACUAAUGCUUUGCGGCGUAAGGGUUCAAGUCCCUUCUCGCGCACCA
rnacentral:tRNA from 1 species